GACAGAGGGUGCAAACGUUGUUCGGAAUUACUGGGCGUAAAGCGCGUGUAGGCGGCUCUGAUAAGUGAGGUGUGAAAGCCCUGGGCUCAACCCAGGAAGUGCACUUCAAACUAUCGAGCUUGAAUGCUGGAGAGGAAAGCGGAAUUCUCGGUGUAGAGGUGAAAUUCGUAGAUAUCGAGAGGAACACCCGUGGCGAAGGCGGCUUUCUGGACAGCGAUUGACGCUGAGACGCGAAAGCGUGGGGAGCAAACAGGAUUAGAUACCCUGGUAGUCCACGCCGUAAACGAUGGGUGCUAGGUGUCGCGGGCAUUGACCCCUGCGGUGCCGUAGCUAACGCAUUAAGCACCCCGCCUGGGGAGUACGGUCGCAAGACUAAA
rnacentral:rRNA from 1 species